GGGCUCUGGCGGGCCUGGUGGCCGUCUACCUCGUCUUCGGCGGGGUGGCGCUGUCCCGCUGGGCGGCCGGGGCCUCCGCCGCCCUGGAGCCCU
rnacentral:tRNA from 1 species